GACUACGGUGAUUCUCUGGCAAAGCGAGGCAGUUGUUCUCCGUGGCCCGAUGCCCCCACAGCCUAUGUGAAUAACAGCCCUUCCCCAGCGCCCACUUUCACCUCCCCACAGCAGAGCACUUGCAGUGUCCCAGACAGCAAUUCUUCUUCCCCAAAUCAUCAGGGAGAUGGAGCUUCACAGGCCUCUGGUGAACAAAUUCAGCCUUCAGCUACGAUCCAGGAAACACAGCAAUGGCUGCUGAAAAACAGAUUCUCUUCCUACACAAGACUGUUCUCUAAUUUUUCAGGUGCCGACUUAUUAAAACUGACAAAGGAGGAUUUAGUUCAAAUUUGUGGUGCAGCCGAUGGAAUUCGGCUCUAUAAUUCACUGAAGUCAAGGGCAGGCCCAGAUAUGAUGCAGGCACUGAUGAGGGCAGAGGUAGACUGUAAGACUGGUAGAAAUGCACAUGGGCAGUACUGAUUUCUUGAAGACGACUGGGUUUGUUGCCAAGAAAACAAAACUUCUAAUUUAGGUCGGUUAGGCCCCGUUUAACCAUCUAUGUCUGCCGGGAGCAGCCAAGCAGCACAGUGCUGCAAGGGCAGCAGCAAGCUGCAAGCAGUGCAAGCGAGAAUGGCAGUGGGGCACCCUAUGUUUAUCAUGCAAUCUACUUGGAAGAAAUGAUUGCCUCAGAAGUUGCUCGAAAACUUGCGCUGGUGUUUAAUAUUCCUCUCCACCAAAUUAAUCAGGUUUACAGACAGGGUCCCACUGGUAUUCACAUUCUUGUUAGUGAUCAGAUGGUUCAGAAUUUUCAAGAUGAGAGUUGUUUUUUAUUCUCCACAGUAAAAGCUGAAAAUAGUGAUGGCAUCCACAUAAUUUUGAAGUGAUGUCUUAUAUAGACUGAACUAUAUUCAGUACCAAAUAGUCACGCUUAAAAGUGUGUGAAGACUGA
rnacentral:sRNA from 1 species